rnacentral:rRNA from 1 species
AAACACGCUGGCGGCGUGCCUAACACAUGCAAGUCGAACGAGAAAGUGGAGCAAUCCAUGAAGUAAAGUGGCGACCGGGUGAGUAACACGUGACUAACCUACCUUCGAGUGGGGAAUAACCUCGGGAAACCGGGGCUAAUACCGCAUAACAUCGCGAGGUGAGAUUCCUUGUGAUCAAAGGAGCAAAACGCUUGAAGAGGGGGUCGCGGCUGAUUAGCUAGUUGGUGAGGUAACGGCUCACCAAGGCGAUGAUCAGUAUCCGGCCUGAGAGGGCGCACGGACACACUGGAACUGAAACACGGUCCANACUCCUACGGGAGGCAGCAGUGGGGAAUUUUGCGCAAUGGGGGAAACCCUGACGCAGCAACGCCGCGUGGAGGAUGAAGGUCUUUGGAUUGUAAACUCCUUUCGAUCGGGACGAUUAUGACGGUACCGGAAGAAGAAGCACCGGCUAACUCUGUGCCA